rnacentral:lncRNA from 1 species
GAUAGAUAGAUAGAUAGAUAGAGAUUUAUAUUUAAAUAAAUGUUCAUACAUAUUAAUGUGUACCUAUAAAUUUGUAUGAAUAUAUGGAAAUUUGUAUUCAAACAUUCAUAUAUACAGAGAUAUAUGUAUACACGCAUACUUAUAUAUAUACAUGCACUCAUAUAUAUAUACAUUUUUGUUUCGUAGACGUGUGUGUUUGUGGCUUAGAAUAUAUUGAUAUGUAAAAUGUAAAUCAUAAGCCAUUGAAACAACAUGUGCUUCUCUGGUUUCAUAGACAGUUGUCACUGAAAUGUAAUUGUAUGUGUGUGUGUGUGUUUGUGUGUGUGUGUUUGUGUGCGCCCGUGUGUGUGUACAUACAUUUCUAUAUGUUUAUAUACGUGUAUUUUGCAUAAAUGUAAAUUAUGUGUGUCUGUGAAACAUCACAUCAAAGCAUUCCGCACCUAUGCUUGUUAACAUCUCGCCACACACAUAUAAAUGUAUACAUACAUACAUAUAUAUAUAAAUAUAUUUUAUAUAUGUAUGUAUGCAUGUAUGCAUAUAUAUAUAUAUAGUCGUCAACUAAAUGUGACUAAGGGUGUCAAGAUAACUACAUUGCUAGAAAUAAGAGCUAAAAUCCUCCAGUCCUGUUACAAUAACAUAUACACUAAUAGGUGCUGCAAACUCCACGAGCUUCGAACUGAAAAUUCUUUAGAUUGACCGCUCGCUUUUGGCUAUUUUCGUAGCCAUCAUCAGUAAGGCCAGCUCGGACCAGCUUACUGACGAUGGCUACGGAAAUAUCCGAAACUGACCAGUCGGUGUCCUCAGAGUUAUAUGUUAUGUGCAUUAUAACAGCAUUGGAGCAUUUUAUCUCUUAUAUCUAGCAACGUAGGUGUCUUGGCUCGUUUAGUCACGUUUAGUUGAUUAUAAUUCUUCUUUACUGUCUAACAUUGCAACAGGCUGUUUUAAUUAAUACACACACACACACACACACACACACACACACAUAUAUAUAUGUAUGCAUGUAUAUAUGUAUAUAUAUAUAUAUAUAUAUAUAUGUAUAUGUAUUUAUAUUUAUAUUAUUUUGUAUUAUGUUUUAUAUUAUAUUACUUAUGAGUGCGUGCCUGCGUGUAUAUAUGCAUAUAUUUUUCUGCUUGUAAAUUUAAUUGCCUUUUGGACAUGUGCGUCUUUUUCUAUACAUCAAUAAUGACUCACUGUAUAUUGCACAAAUAUAUUUCUUUUUUCUCAAAGAAAUUACACUUCAUAUUCGAGGCUCCGAUGAAGCUACAGGAUGCUAUUCAGGCACUCAACCAUGAGUCCACAGCAUCUUGUGGCAGAAACAGCUGUAAGCUAAUGGAAUUCACAACAUAACCAUCGCCUUCCUUUGGCAUCUCUUUUUCUUAUUGCUGGUCUUUACUCGUCUAACACAUAUGUGUAUUGAGUUCUACACUAGGCUAUUAGUUCCGCAGUGCCUAAGCGAAUAUGAGUGUGUGUAUGUGGGUGUGUAUAUGCAUGUAUGUCUGUACGUAUACUUAUAUGUAUGUACAUGUAUAUAUCUAUAUAAUAUGUAUAUUAUUGAUGUUGGUGGUCAUGGUACAGACCGUAGUAUUGCUUUUCAUAUCUGUAUGUAUGGGCCUACUUUAGAUUGUGGUGGUACUUCGUGUUGUAAUCAAAGGAUCGGGUUUCGAUUUAAUGUGCAGUAAUGGCCUUUAUAUCCUAUAGCCUUGAAGUGAGCAAAUGUCUUGCAGGUAGGAACGCACACACAUUCUUUCUCUCCCUCUCUCACACGCACACAGACACACAUAUAUGUAUAUAUUAACACACACACACAUACACAUAUAUUUACGCGCGUGCGCGCGUGACCCUGCAGCUAGAAAACGCGGAGUUCUUUACUAAUCAAAACAAUAUUAUUAGCCUGCUGUGCUGACAGAGUGCCCUCAAGUAUUUUGACCGUUUUGAUAAUCCCUAACCAAUAACUCUGUUUUAUUUAUAUAUAUAUAUAUAUAUAUAUAUAUAUAUAUAUAUAUAUAUAUGCAUAUAUAUAUAAUUAUUUGCACACAAACACACAUACACACACAUAUAUAUAUAUAUAUAAUAUCACAAAUUUUGUAUCUACAGCUAGGCAUGGUUUCCCGACCAAAAUAAUAAUGCUUUUUGCUUAUAAGAUUAUCUUUACUCUCACAAGUGAUCGAGUGCUAUUGUACGUGUUGAAUCAUUGGUGUGGCUGUGUGGUAAGAAGCUUGCUUCCCAACCACGUGGUUACCGGUUGGGUCCCACUGCGUUAAACCUUGGGCAAGUGUCACCUACUAUUAUAGCCUUUGGCGGACCAAAGCCUUGUGGGUAGAUUUGGUAGGCGGAAACUGAAAGAAGCUAGUUGUGUGUGUGUGUAUAUAUAUAUGAAUUUAUGUCUGUGUGUGUGUGUAUCUGUGUUUGCGCAUUCCGCACCAUCACUUGACAACCGAUGCUGGUGUGUUUACACCUCUGUAACUUAACCAGUUCCGUCAAAAAGAAUAAGUACUAGGCUUACAAAGAGUGCGUCCCGAGACUGGUUUCUUCGACUAAAACCAUUUGAGGCCGUGAUCCAACAUGGCUAUAGUCAAAUGAUUGAUACAAGUAAAAGAACGAAAGAAUAAAAGAAUAUAUAUAUAUAUAUAUAUAUAUAUAUAUAUAAUACGAAUAAAGGGUAAAAUUAAUUAAUUAUAUAUGUAUAUAUAUAUUGGUGUUUGUUUUCAUUUUAUACAGAAAUAUUCGAAGAUAAAUUGAAAGGUUAGUCAAUACGUUUAAGUAGCGUACCAAAUUUAUUCUACCAGGAAAUGUUUGAUCUUACUCGCCGUCAAAAUCUGACGACGUCUAUUAAGCUAACUGUAAGGUGUUACUCAGGUACUCAGCUCUGAGUCCACUACAUCGCAUAGCAGAAACAGCCGUGAGACAAUGAAGUUCAUAAGUUAAUCAUUUAUUCCGUUGUCAUCUCAUUUUCUUAUACACACACUCACACACACAUACACACACACACACACACACACACACACACACACAAACACAUGCGUUUGAUUUCUGUAUUUUACUACUGGUUUGUUGGUUUCAGUCUAAAGUGUUUGCCAUGCUGGGACAACAGCCAUUAGUGUUAAUACUUGCUAAAUUUUAUUAUUAAUUAACGGCCCUAUCUCCGGAAUCGGUCCUGGUAAAAUAGUGAGUUGAACAACGCUGCCCUUCUUCGCGUUUCUUUCUGCGCUGUUGGUUCUUCAGGUGUCUCUGAUAAAAAUUUGCCUAAAUGCUCUUCGCACACAUCCAUGUCCACACUUCCUAGAUCUCUGUGGCCUUCUAGCAAGGUAUUGAAAUAGAGUGAACCUUUGAACUCUUGGCUGUACAGAAUUGGGCCCUUACUCGGGACAGAGAAGGAAUUUUCUUUGACUCUAUACAGUGGCGUCCAGUUCGGAGAUUGGCAUAGCUUUCAAUACCUAAAGUUGGGUGCUAGACAAUGAUUUAUCAUUUGUGUGUGUGUGUGUUCAUGAUCCUUUAGCAAGAAUAGUAUUUUUACAUUGUAUUCGAAGUUUCGGCUCCCUAGACCAUCUUCGGACUGUCGAUAGAAUUCUUGUUAAAGAAUUAUAAAUUUGUGCUCUACAAAGGUAUGGAGUAAUCCUUCAGAUGAAUGUAAAAUUAUUUUUCUUAAAUCUUAACAUUAAAUAAAAUUUUAAUAUAUAUAUAUAUAUAUAAUAUAUACACACACACACAGACACAUACACACAUACAUACACACACACACACACACACACACACACACACACACACACACACAUUUAUAUAUACACGCACGCACGCACACACUGCAUAUCUUUCACGUCUUCUCCAGUUCUUUUCGCCUCUUCCUGUAAUUCCUCUGUUGCACUGGGAGUCAAUCUUCUUUGUAAAGUGGCGUUGAGAUGCCUCAACUGCUCAUUUGACGCUUUUUGCUGACCAUAAAUUCGAAGCAGUAAACUCAGGCGAAUAUAUAUAUAUAGUUACCUCUAUUUACUUAUGCACACACAGCCAGACACACAUACACGCACGCAUACACACAUAUAUGUAUAUGAGUGUAGAUAGAUAAAAUAGAUAAAUAAAUAAAGAGUUGUCGUUCCGAAUGAAAUAAAAACUGCAUUCAGAUCCGGCAGCAGAAUGCAUAUAAGACAACUGACGAUAAUCUCUGCGGCAAUUCUGAAAUUCUUGGCAUGGGUAACCAUUUAAUCGUACCUGGGCAGGUAACCUGAUAGUUUGAGAAGUGACACAAGGAAUCAAAUGAUUCUCCAGUUUUUACUCAUCUUUUAUGUGUAUGUGUUUUUGUGUGUAUUUGUGUGUGUAUAUAUAUAUGCGUAUGUAUGUAUGUAUGUAUGUAUGUAUGUAUGUAUGUAUGUAUGUAUGUAUGUAUGUAUGUAUGUAUGUGUGUAUGUAUUAAGGUUGAGAUAAUGAGAGAUUGUGUGUGAAAAAGUGAUAGACAAACAUUUUAGCUGUCAGAUAAUAUUUGCAAUCAGGCCCAUUAUUUUUUAAUUAAUGUUGACAUCCAGCGUUGAUUGCUUUCAAAUCAAUAUUAUAGAAUAUUAUCAAAUAAUCUGGAACUUUUUAAAUGUUUUCUGUAGAGAAAAUGUGUUGGUAGAUGUUAUUAAUAAAUUUAUUAUAAUUUAUUUGAUUAUUUUUAGACAAACAAUAACGAUCCUGUACAUGUAUGUUAAGCAUGUCGAGGUUUUCCCUUGCAAAAUUUAUUUAAAUCAAUAUCAGGUAUAAUAUUUUUACUACAUAUUAGAAAUAUCUGAGAAAUGAAGUGUGUUAUUUUUACAAUAUGAAAUUCAUUUUAAGCCUAUGACUUAAUAUUUUAAAUAUAUGGUAUUUAUAUCAACAGCAUAAAUUAUAUUUGGACUGUAAUAAAUAUAGUGUUUCAAGUUUUUAAAAUACAUUUUUUUGGUCAUGCGAAAUAUAUUUCAUCUAUAAUAAAUAACGCUACGUAUAUAUAAUUACAUCAUAAUAUAUAGUAUUGUAACUAUACAAACAGUUUU